UGGGGAAUUUUGGGCAAUGGGGGCAAGCCUGAUCCAGCCAUGCCGCGUGGAUGAUGAAGGCCUUAGGGUUGUAAAGUCCUUUCGGCGGGGAAGAUAAUGACGGUACCCGCAGAAGAAGCCCCGGCUAACUUCGUGCCAGCAGCCGCGGUAAUACGAAGGGGGCUAGCGUUGCUCGGAAUCACUGGGCGUAAAGCGCACGUAGGCGGCUUUUUAAGUCAGGGGUGAAAUCCUGGAGCUCAACUCCAGAACUGCCUUUGAUACUGAGAAGCUUGAGUCCGGGAGAGGUGAGUGGAACUGCGAGUGUAGAGGUGAAAUUCGUAGAUAUUCGCAAGAACACCAGUGGCGAAGGCGGCUCACUGGCCCGGUACUGACGCUGAGGUGCGAAAGCGUGGGGAGCAAACAGGAUUAGAUACCCUUGUAGUCCCUGAGCGGGCUGGCAAGGCGCAU
rnacentral:rRNA from 1 species